rfam:Triticum aestivum genome assembly, contig: Triticum_aestivum_CS42_TGACv1_scaffold_526363_6DL
AAAACUAGCCAGUCUUUUGGGUAUGAAACCCAUUUGGGCGAGAGUAGUACUAGGAUGGGUGACCUCCUGGGAAGUCCUCGUGAAAGGGUUUC